AACGAACGCUGGCGGCAGGCUUAACACAUGCAAGUCGAACGCACCUUCGGGUGAGUGGCAGACGGGUGAGUAACGCGUGGGAACCUUCCCUGUGGUACGGAAUAGCUCCGGGAAACUGGAAUUAAUGCCGUAUACGCCCUUCGGGGAAAGAUUUAUCGCCAUAGGAUGGGCCCGCGUCGGAUUAGCUUGUUGGUAGGGUAAUGGCCUACCAAGGCAACGAUCCGUAGCUGGUCUUAGAGGAUGAUCAGCCACACUGGGACUGAGACACGGCCCAGACUCCUACGGGAGGCAGCAGUGGGGAAUAUUGGACAAUGGGCGAAAGCCUGAUCCAGCCAUGCCGCGUGAGUGACGAAGGCCUUAGGGUUGUAAAACUCUUUUGGCGGGGACGAUAAUGACGGUACCCGCAGAAUAAGCCCCGGCUAACUUCGUG
rnacentral:rRNA from 1 species